rnacentral:lncRNA from 10 species
AUAAAAACAGCUAACACUUGUUUAGGUACUUACUACAUGACUGCUAUCGCCCUGACAACUUACUGCUUUUAAUCUCAUAAAGUCUUCCCCAUAACCCAAUGAGGCAACUUCUGCUAUCCCUGUCUUGGAAUCCAGUCACCAUGUAAAAAAUGCCACUGCCCUGAGACCACCCACCAUGCUGUUAAGAAGCCCAAGCAAGUGAAGUCACCGUAUACUAGAAUGGAAAUUUGAUAGGUAAGUCCACAAGAGUGUCCAAGGCAUAGUGCAUAUCCUAUAGAAACUCAGCUGUUGGGAAAAUGCAGACAAUCAUGUUGGUCAAGAGCAACACAUUCUCAUGGCAGAAGAAAUUUGCAAAUUCACUUCAUUGCUUUCAAAAGGAUUUGGAUUCUCAGGCCGAAUUGUCCUGAAAUCAAAAGUGCAGUUGACACAGUUUUGCCUCUCAUCCUGAGCAUCCUUGUCCACCAUUAAAAUGUUUCUAACAAUGAAAGGAACUCACCAGAGCCCCAGACUCAGCCUACAAAUCAAGCUUUAUUUUUAAAUAUUAAAAAGAAAAAAAUCUGUUAGAUUGACUUUUACAAGGAAAUAAAGCCAGGUUACUGAAUGAAUUCAUCUGAAGGUUAUUUAUAGUUUUGUUGCUUGUUUGUUUUUAACCACAGACAACAUGUCUUAAUUGGAAUGGACAAUAAAGAUAAACUGCUUCAGCCCUCUUGUAAAAUGGUGCGUAGUGUGAUGCUCAUAGCUGAGAUUUGAAGAAAUACUUUCAUUCAUUUUCAUAUCCAUCCAGCAAUCAUUUGUCAAACAGUUAUUCAGCACUGAACCAUGGACCAGAAAAGGGACAGACAGAAGAAUAAGGCAACGUUGUCCUCUUGAAGUAGUUUGAAGUUUGGAGGGACACACAUUUAAUCAUUAAAUCUUCAGUAAGAAAAAACAUAACAUGUCUUGGCCGGGAGCGGUGGCUCACGCCUGUAAUCCCAGCACUUUGGGAGGCCAAGGCGGGCAGAUCACAAGGUCAGGAGUUCAAGAACAACCUGGUCAACAUAGUGAAACCCCAUCUCUACUAAAAAUAAAAAAAAUUAGUGGGGCUUGGUGGCGGGCGCCUGUAAUCCCAGCUACUCAAGAGGCUGAGGCAGGAGAACAGCUUGAACCCGGGAGGCGGAGCUUGCAGUGAGCCGAGAUUGCGCCACUGCACACCAGCUGGGUGACAGAGCGAGACUCCAUCUUAAAA